UAAUGAGUACUGCCGCCUCCCCAUUUCUCAAUUCUCUCCCAUUUCUCUCCCAACUCUUUGUGAAAUUCAUCUUCCUAUCAAUCUAUGCCUCCUUUGCUUUGGGCAAUAAAAAUUUGGGUUUCUCCAGAUGAUAUAUUACGUGUACGUAUUUGUGGGUUCUUACUGAUUUAAUUCUAUUGUAGAGGUACAUGAAAGUUUAAAUUUAUUCAACAGCAAAGUUACUAGACAAGUGGUUACAUUAGCGUUUGAGGAAGCAGCAUUUUUUCUUUCUUUCUUAGUUUAUUACUAAAAUUAUUGUAUUUCUAUUUGACCUCAUGUUGUU